GCGGGGAUAGCUCAGUUGGGAGAGCGUCAGACUGAAGUUCAAACUUCGUCACUAGUUAAUCUGAAGGUCGUGCGUUCGAUCCGCACUCACCGCA